UAGUCAGAGCCCGUUAAUGGGUGAUGGCGUGCCUUUUGUAGAAUGAACCGGCGAGUUACGAUUUGAUGCAAGGUUAAGCAGUAAAUGUGGAGCCGUAGCGAAAGCGAGUCUGAAUAGGGCGAAUGAGUAUCUGGUCGUAGACCCGAAACCAAGUGAUCUACCCAUGUCCAGGUUGAAGUUCAGGUAACACUGAAUGGAGGACCGAACCGACUUACGUUGAAAAGUGAGCGGAUGAGGUGUGGGUAGCGGAGAAAUUCCAAUCGAACUUGGAGAUAGCUGGUUCUCUCCGAAAUAGCUUUAGGGCUAGCCUCAAGUGAUGAUUAUUGGAGGUAGAGCACUGUUUGGACGAGGGGCCCCUCUCGGGUUACCGAAUUCAGACAAACUCCGAAUGCCAAAUAAUUUAACUUGGGAGUCAGACUAUGGGUGAUAAGGUCCGUAGUCGAAAGGGAAACAGCCCAGACCACCAGCUAAGGUCCCAAAAUAUAUGUUAAGUGGAAAAGGAUGUGGCGUUGCCCAGACAACUAGGAUGUUGGCUUAGAAGCAGCCAUCAUUUAAAGAGUGCGUAAUAGCUCACUAGUCGAGUGACACUGCGCCGAAAAUGUACCGGGGCUAAACAUAUUACCGAAGCUGUGGAUUAUCCGUAAGGAUAAUGGUAGGAGAGCGUUCUAAACGUGUCGAAGCAUGAUCGUAAGGACAUGUGGAAUGUUUAGAAGUGAGAAUGCCGGUGUGAGUAGCGAAAGAUGGGUGAGAAUCCCAUCCACCGAUUGACUAAGGUUUCCAGAGGAAGGCUCGUCCGCUCUGGGUUAGUCGGGACCUAAGCCGAGGCCGAUAGGCGUAGGCGAUGGAUAACAGGUAGAUAUUCCUGUACCACCUAUGAUUGUUUGAACGAUGGGGGGACGCAGUAGGAUAGGCGAAGCGUGCUGUUGGAGUGCACGUCCAAGCAAUAAGACUGAGUGUUAGGCAAAUCCGGCACUCGUAAGGUUGAGUUGUGAUGGGGAGUUGGAUCAUGUAUCCGACGAGU
rnacentral:rRNA from 1 species